rnacentral:lncRNA from 10 species
GUAAUGAUAAAGAUCAGCACAGAAUAUUAUAGAAGUAGAAUGGUCAAAUAGCUAAUCCAAACUUGGAGGUUAUGGCUACCAAGAGAAAUUUGUAGAAGAUAAUUCUUGAAAAUUUUAAAUAAGAGAAACCCCCUUUGGGUCCUCUCCCCUUGUACGGGAGCUCUGUUUUCACUCUAUUUCACUCUAUUAAAUCUUGCAACUGCACUCUUAUGAUCCAUGUUUGUUACGGCUUGAGCUGAGCUUUCGCUCGCUGUCCACCACUGCUGUUUUGCCACCAUGGCAGACCCACCACUGACCUCCAUCCCUCCGCAUCCAGCAGGGUGUCCGCUGUGCUCCUGAUCCAGUGAGGCGCCCGUUGCCACUCCCGAUUGGGCUAAGGGCUUGCCAAUGUUCCUGCAUGGCUAAGUGCCUGGGUUCGUCCUAAUCGAGCUGAACACUAGUCACUGGGUUCCAUGGUUCUCUUCCAUGACCCACAACUUCUAAUAGAGCUAUAACAAGCACUGCAUGGCCCAAGAUUCCAUUCCUUGGAAUCCGUGAGGCCAAGAACCCCAGGUCAGAGAACACGAGGCUUGCCACCAUCUUGGAAGUGGCCCACCGCCAUUUUGGAAGUGGCCAACCACCAUCUUGGGAGCUCUGGGAGCAAGGACCCCUGGUAACAUUUUGGCGACCACGAAGGGACAUCCCAAGUGAUCCAUGCAAGGCUGGACUUAAAUGCUUCUGGGCAGAAAUCCGGAACAAUAAGGAGGCUCAUAUUGUCAACUUUUCUACUCUCAUCGUUCCUGUUACACAAUGUCUGAAAGAAAACAUUUCAAACAUUACAUCAAGUUCUUCAUUUGUUUCUUCUCACUUCUCUUUCCUGCCAUCUUGUGAAGAAGGACCUGUUUGCUUCCUCUUCUGCCAUGAUUGUAAACUUCCUGAGGCCUUCCCAGACAUAUGAAACUCUGCCUUGUGAAGAAGGACUUGCCUGCUUCCCUUUCCACCAUGGUUGUAAGUUUCCCGAGGCCUUCCCAGCCAUGCAGAACUGUGAGUCAAUUAAACCUUUUUCCUUUAUAAAUUACCCAAUUUCAGGUAUGUCUUCAUAGAUGCCUGAGCAGGAACUAUUAGGUUGAUGCAAAGGUAAUUGCACAUUUUGACAUUUUUUAAAGUAAUGGCAAAACCCUCAAUUACUUCUGCACUAACUAAAUAAUAUGUAUACUAUCCGGACUUCUUGGUUUUUCAGAACUUUCUCUGUUGUAAACACUCCAGUGAUAGUAUAAUCUCAUUGCUAUUUUACUUUUAGAAGUUUAUUUGCCAAAAUCCAUACACAAAAGAAGAAGAUAGAAAUGAUUAGUGCUGAAUUGGUUUACAGUUAUAUCAGAGGAAAUCAUAAUAUAAGUGAAGAUCUCAUAAGGAUAGAAUCAUAUCAAUAAUGUUUAUAUCUUCCGUGAAUUAUUAUGGAGUUU